AGAGUUUGAUCAUGGCUCAGGAUGAACGCUAGCGGCAGGCUUAACACAUGCAAGUCGAGGGGUAACAGGGUGCUUGCACCGCUGACGACCGGCGCACGGGUGCGUAACGCGUAUACAAUCUACCUUAUAGAGGGGGAUAGCCCAGAGAAAUUUGGAUUAAUACCCCAUAGUACUUAGAGACAGCAUUGCUUUUAGGUUAAACAUUUAUGGCUAUAAGAUGAGUAUGCGUCCUAUUAGUUAGUUGGUAAGGUAACGGCUUACCAAGACCGCGAUAGGUAGGGGUCCUGAGAGGGAGAUCCCCCACACUGGUACUGAGACACGGACCAGACUCCUACGGGAGGCAGCAGUGAGGAAUAUUGGACAAUGGGCGAGAGCCUGAUCCAGCCAUGCCGCGUGCAGGAAGACGGCCCUAUGGGUUGUAAACUGCUUUUAUACGGGAAGAAACACCUCUUCGUGAAGAGGCUUGACGGUACCGUAAGAAUAAGGAUCGGCUAACUCCGUGCCAGCAGCCGCGGUAAUACGGAGGAUCCAAGCGUUAUCCGGAAUCAUUGGGUUUAAAGGGUCCGUAGGCGGGACAAUAAGUCAGCGGUGAAAGUCUGUGGCUCAACCAUAGAAUUGCCAUUGAUACUGUUGUUCUUGAGUGUUUAUGAAGUGGUUAGAAUAUGUAGUGUAGCGGUGAAAUGCUUAGAUAUUACAUGGAAUACCGAUUGCGAAGGCAGAUCACUAAUAAAAUACUGACGCUGAUGGACGAAAGCGU
rnacentral:rRNA from 1 species